rfam:Chelonia mydas contig143799, whole genome shotgun sequence.
CCUAAGAUCUUUUCCGCAUUCCUUUUGAUGAUCAAAUGCAAAUAUUUAUUCCCCAGCAUUUUUUCCUUUCAUUCAGGCUACAGCUUUGAAACCUGUGGAGUCCCAAAAAAUUGCUUAGCUGGCAUUAUUUGUGCAGAUUUGUUUCCCCUGAUUUCUUUAUCUCAUUCUUAAAAACGCAUUGCAACGAGGGGGAAAAUAAGAAAACACAGCUAUAUGGGCAGUGCUGUUUUACAUACGGGUUAGACACGGCUAGAGGCCAAGGUCAAGUUGAAAGUUGUAGUCUAGCCAAUGUGAGAACUGUCAUUCAAAGCUUGAAGACCCUGUCUGAUUUGUUAAAAAGGAGCAGCCAUGAGAACACUAAUCUCCCUAGCUAUCCUCU